GACGGAGGGGGCAAGCGUUGUCCGGAAUUACUGGGCGUAAAGCGUGCGUAGACGGUUAUUUAAGUCGGGUGUGAAAGCCCCGGGCUCAACCUGGGAAUUGCAUUCGAGACUGAAUAGCUAGGGUACGGUAGAGGGAAGCGGAAUUUCCGGUGUAGCGGUGAAAUGCGUAGAUAUCGGAAGGAACAUCAGUGGCGAAAGCGGCUUCCUGGACCAGUACCGACGUUCAGGCACGAAAGCGUGGGGAGCAAACAGG
rnacentral:rRNA from 1 species